CCCCUAGUAACUGCGAGUGAAGCGGGACAAGCUCAAAUUUAAAAUCUGGCAAUCUUUGGUUGUCCGAGUUGUAAUCUGGAGAAGUGCUUUCCGCGCCAGACCGUGUAAAAGUUCCUUUGGAAUGAGGCGUCAUAGAGGGUGAGAAUCCCGUCUUUGACACGGACAACUGGGGCUUUUGUGAUGCGCUCUCGAAGAGUCGAGUUGUUUGGGAAUGCAGCUCAAAAUGGGUGGUAAAUUCCAUCUAAAGCUAAAUAUUGGCGAGAGACCGAUAGCGAACAAGUACCGUGAGGGAAAGAUGAAAAGCACUUUGGAAAGAGAGUUAAACAGUACGUGAAAUUGUUGAAAGGGAAACGCUUGAAGUCAGUCGCAUCUGCUAAGGAUCAACCUUGCUUUUUUGCUUGGUGCAUUUCUUAGUUUGAUGGGUCAGCAUCAAUUUUGACUGCUGGAUAAAGGGCAGAGGAAUGUGGCAUCCUUUUUGGGUGUGUUAUAGCCUUUGCUCACAUGCAGCGGUUGGGAUUGAGGAGCUCAGCAUGCCUUUAUGGUCGGGGUUCUACCCACGUAACAUGCUUAGGAUGCUGGCGUAAUGGCUUUAAGCGACCCGUCUUGAAACACGGACCAAGGAGUCUAACAUGCCCGCGAGUAUUUGGGUGGAAAACCCAGAUGCGCAAUGAAAGUGAAAGUUGAGACCUCUGUCGUGGAGGGCAUCGACGCCCGGACCAGACCUUCUGUGACGGUUCCGCGGUAGAGCGUGUAUGUUGGGACCCGAAAGAUGGUGAACUAUGCCUGAAUAAGGGUGAAGCCAGAGGAAACUCUGGUGGAGCUCGUAGCGAUUCUGACGUGCAAAUCGAUCGUCAAUUUGGGUAUAAGGGGGCGAAAGACUAAUCGAACAUCUAGUAGCUGUUCCUGGCGAGAUUCCCUCAGAUAGCGAGCUCAUUAGAUUAUUUGGGAAGCGAUGAUAGGCCCUGGGGGUUGAACACCUACCUAUUCUCACUUUAUUAUGUAGACAGCCGUCCCUUGAUUGACGUCGCCAUGU
rnacentral:rRNA from 1 species